rnacentral:rRNA from 1 species
UACGUAGGUGGCAAGCGUUGUCCGGAAUUAUUGGGCGUAAAGCGCAUGUAGGCGGUUGGGCAAGUUGAGUGUGAAAGCUCCCGGCUAAACUGGGAGAGGACAUUUAAGACUGCCCGGCUAGAGGUCGGUAGAGGGGCGCAGAAUUCGGGGUGUAGCGGUGAAAUGUGUAGAGAUCCCGAGGAAUACCAGUGGUGAAGACGGCGCCCUGGGCCGAACCUGACGCUGAGAUGCGAAAGCGUGGGGAGCGAACGGG